AACGAACGCUGGCGGCAGGCCUAAUACAUGCAAGUCGAACGGAUGUAGCAAUACAUUAGUGGCGCACGGGUGCCUAACGCGUGGGAACAUACCCUUGAGUAAGGAAUAAUGUCUGGAAACGGACACUAAUACCUUAUAAUGACUUCGGUCCAAAGGAUUUAUCGCUCAAGGAUUGGCCCGCGUCUGAUUAGCUAGUUGGU
rnacentral:rRNA from 1 species